rnacentral:rRNA from 1 species
AGUAGGGCCUGCCCACUGAAAUUUUAAAGGGCCGCAGUAUUUUAACUGUGCAAAGGUAGCAUAAUCAUUAGUUUUUUAAUUGAAAGCUGGAAUGAAUGGUUUGAUGAAAAAAUAGCUGUUUCAAUAUUAAUUUAUUAAAACUUUAUUUUUAAGUUAAAAAGCUUAAAUAUUUAUAAAAGACGAGAAGACCCUAUAGAGUUUAAUUUAAAUUAAUUUUUUAAAUUUUAGAAUUAAGUUUUUAAAAAAUUAAUUUAAAUUUAAUUGGGGUGAUUAAAAAAUUAACUAAACUUUUUUUAUAUAAAUACAUUUAUUUGUGAUUUAUUGAUCCAUUAAUAUGAUAAAAAGAAU